rnacentral:lncRNA from 1 species
GCACACCUUGGACUAUCACCGGCUCAGUAUGAACGCGUUGUUCAUGAGGACGGCAAGACCCAUGUUGUAAAUUGUCUGUAAGCGACGUGUUGUCGUAUCUUCUAUGCCUAAAACGUCUGUAAGAGACUUCUUGUCGUAUCUUCUAUGCCUAAACGUCUAUGUUAUGCCUAAAACUUAAAUUAUCUAUGCGGAGUUAUAAAUUGUCUGUAAGCAACAUGUUGUCAUACCUUCUAUGCCUAAGAUAUUUGGUGCUAAACCUGUCGUGAAACAUGCUUUCUAUGUUCAUGCAUUGUUAAGUGGCUUCUUAUUGUGUGCAUACAAACGUUUGGACCGGCACCCUCGCUCCAAGGCGCGAUCCCGAUCUAGUCACUAAGAGAGCAACAACAAACAACAACAAAGCCUUUAUACAUGAAAAUCGGAAGUGUAACAGACCAAAGACAAAUGAUU